rnacentral:rRNA from 1 species
AUUGAACGCUGGCGGCAGGCCUAACACAUGCAAGUCGAACGAGUGGCGGACGGGUGAGUAAUGUCUGGGAAACUGCCCGAUGGAGGGGGAUAACUACUGGAAACGGUAGCUAAUACCGCAUACCAUCGGAUGUGCCCAGAUGGGAGUAGCUAGUAGGUGGGGUAACGGCUCACCUAGGCGACGAUCCCUAGCUGGUCUGAGAGGAUGACCGGCAACACUGGAACUGAGACACGGUCCAGAAUCCUACGGGAGGCAGCAGUGGGGAAUAUUGCACAAUGGGCGAAAGCCUGACGCAGCCAUGCCGCGUGAAUGAAGAAGGCCUUCGGAUUGUAAAAUACGUUCAGGAGGGAAGCGGUACUCAAAGAAAAAGCACCGGCUAACUCCGUGCCAGCAGCCGCGGUAAUAC